CUUAACCCCCUGCACCAUUCCUUCCUUCACGGCUGAGAGUGUAACAAAGCUGGCAGGGAUUCCUGUUCGGCACCUUCAUCUUGGAACUGUGUUGGUCCCCUGAUCCUCGCCUUUCACUGAACUCUUGUGUCUCGUUUCUGAUUCUCCCGCCGCAUCACGCUUUCGGAAACCCUGCUUGUCGAGCUGGACUGAACAGGGGCCUGAAAGUGGAACUAGCCUCGAGGCUAGGCUCCUAGCGGCGGAGAUCGCAGGGAAAUCCAGCCCGCUCUGGCGGACGAGAAACAACCUUGAAGAAGUUGAACAUCAGUGGAUCCCAAAAUGAAAAAUCUGGCCCUGGAAGGAAAAGGACCUACUUCGAUAUAGACCCACUGUUUGAACCCCCACUUGGAGCCAUGUCACUGCUGAUCCUUAAUCCUGCACUAUCUCUAUCAAAAAUAACCCAAGAAGCAUCUUUGCCAACUUGGGGACAGAUAGAGAAACUGUCUCUGGAGGCAGAGAAGAUGGUACACAGAAGAAGACUGCCAGAAACACCAGACAACCAGUUCUUGGCUAUGGUCACUUUGCUGACCAUGGUGGUAAGUACACAAGCUAUAGAUAGUCAUCACUAUUGGACUUACAUACCUAAUCCUCCCCUGAUGAGACCUGUGACUCUGGAAAAUUCGCCAGUCCCAUUAUUCGUAAAUGAUUCUGCCUGGCUCCCCAGACCAUAUGAUUAAAAUCUUCCUAUUAAAAAGGAAGAAGAAGGUUGUCAGUUGGUAAAUUAUACUGUUGGCUCUGAUACCACUCCUAUUUGUAUUGGUUUUGGAAGUAUAUACCUUGAAACAGGAUAUCAAAAAUGGCUGUCAGUUGUCAAAGAAUCAAAUGAUAAUAAGACUUCCUUCUUUCUCUUAACUGCUCUUACUUUUUUAGAAAAGGAGGAAACUUCCAGCAUGAUGAAUCCACCUGAUUUUCCUGAUUGUAUUGCUGAAAUUAGCCAUGGUACUGAAAAUUAGAUACAGUGGAAGGGAUCAGAAGGUCACUUAUUAUUAAAUGUUACAGAAGGCUCCAUUAUCAACUGAGGACCCCGAGGAGCCCCUAAACUUAAAGAAUCUAAAGUGUCUUCCCCAUGGGUAUGUAAAAAUAAGGCCCUCAUUACUUAUGGUAGUCAAUCCCUCAUAUGGCAUCGGGCAGGAUUUGCCCCUCCAUGCCUCGUUUAGAUCAUUACCCUAUUCAUAAUGAAAUAUGGAACAUACCCAUCGCUUAGAAAAAAACUAAUCACUUGGAAUGGAGGACAUACUGAAUAUAUUUUAAAUGACCCAAAAGCUACCUUUUAGCUUUACAAAAAACUCUACCCACACUAUUCAAACUUGUGUAAGAAUUCCUUUUGUUUUUAUGACUGGACCAGCAAAAUAUGAUCCCAAUUUGGGAUUAAUAAUAUGUCUUAAUUGUUCAUUUUAUACAUGUAUCAAUAACACCAUUCUUUUUAAUGAAAGUUGGCAAAGUAUUUAUAUUCUUAAAACCAGAACUGGCAUAUGGGUUCCAGUUGAUUUACAAUGACCUUGGCAAGAAAGCCCUACAUUAUAUGCUAUUGAAGGAAUAUUGUAAAAUCUUAAACAUAUUAAACAUUUUCUGGGAUUGCUGAUUGCUGCC
ensembl:lncRNA